rnacentral:rRNA from 1 species
GACAGAGGGGGCAAGCGUUGUCCGGAGUUACUGGGCGUAAAGGGCGCGGAGGUGGUCUGCGGCGUCGGCGCUGAAAGCGCCCCGCUUAACGGGGCGAGGCGUGCCGAUACGCGCAGACUUGAGGCGAGCAGAGGGUGGUGGAAUUCCGGGUGGAGCGGUGAAAUGCGUAGAGAUCCGGAGGAACGCCAGUGGGGAAGCCGGCCACCUGGGCUCGUCCUGACGCUGCGGCGCGACCGCGUGGGGAGCAAACCGG